rnacentral:rRNA from 1 species
UACAGAGGAUGCAAGCGUUAUCCGGAAUGAUUGGGCGUAAAGCGUCUGUAGGUGGCUUUUUAAGUCCGCCGUCAAAUCCCAGGGCUCAACUCUGAACAGGCGGUGGAAACUACCAAGCUGGAGUACGGUAGGGGCAGAGAGAAUUUCCGGUGGAGCGGUGGAAUGCGUAGAGAUCGGAAAGAACACCAACGGCGAAAGCACGCUGCUGGGCCGACACUGACACUGAGAGACGAAAGCUAGGGGAGCGAAUGGG